AUUCCUUUUCUCAGACACUAGGUGUCGCUAUAUUUUCUCUCAACAGGAGACUGACACUUCCCGUGACUUCCUCUAAAGUUUCGACUUACUUACUUUCCUUUCAUUGCUUUUGCACACUUCAUGUCAUCAUUCUUGCAUUGAACAACGAUUUUAAACAAAAUUUCUCCCCAAAACUCAACGAUUGGCCUCAGUUUCACAUUCCUGAAAAUCACCGCAUAAUUUUUCUUGGUCUGUUUUUACUGUUCUCACACCUAGGUUAUUACUUUAUAGAACCAUUUGAUAGGCGUGACUGGACUAAAGGUGUGUUCCGUAUGGGGAUUGUCCUGCAGCACUCUGAAACAGCUUUCAUGUAGGUCUGGACUAAGAAGACUAACGAUGAAGGCAGUCUGCUGCUGCAGUGUGUUGCUCCUGCUCGUUCUCACUCCCACCUGCUGUCAUGGUGGCAACGUCUUGGUCUUUCCUACAGAAGGAAGCCACUGGAUAAACAUGGAAAUUAUUCUUAAAGCUCUACACUCCAGGGGACACAAUGUUACUAUUGCACGACCCAGCAAAAC